UACGUAGGGGGCAAGCGUUGUCCGGAAUCAUUGGGCGUAAAGAGCGCGUAGGCGGCCCGAUAAGUCCGCUGUGAAAGUCAAGGGCUUAACCCUUGAAUGCCGGUGGAAACUGUCGGGCUAGAGUCCGGAAGAGGCGAGUGGAAUUCCGUGGAUGUAGCGGUGAAAUGCGCAGAUAUCAGGAGGAACACCGAUGGCGAAGGCAGCUCGCUGGGACGGUACUGAGCUGAGGCGCGAAAGCCGUGGGGAGCAAACAGG
rnacentral:rRNA from 1 species